rnacentral:rRNA from 1 species
GCCAGACUCCUACGGGAGGCAGCAGUGAGGAAUAUUGGUCAAUGGGCUAAGGCCUGAACCAGCCAAGUCGCGUGAGGGAAGACGGUCCUAUGGAUUGUAAACCUCUUUUGUCGGGGAGCAACGAGGCCACGUGUGGCCGAAGUGAGAGUACCCGAAGAAAAAGCAUCGGCUAACUCCGUGCCAGCAGCCGCGGUAAUACGGAGGAUGCGAGCGUUAUCCGGAUUUAUUGGGUUUAAAGGGUGCGUAGGCGGAACAUUAAGUCAGCGGUAAAAUCGAGGGGCUCAACCCCUUUAAGCCGUUGAAACUGGGGGCCUUGAGUGGGCGAGAAGAAGGCGGAAUGCGUGGUGUAGCGGUGAAAUGCAUAGAUAUCACGCAGAACCCCGAUUGCGAAGGCAGCCUUCCGGCGCCCUACUGACGCUGAGGCACGAAAGUGCGGGGAUCGAACAGGAUUAGAUACCCCAGUA